UACGUAGGGUGCGAGCGUUGUCCGGAAUUACUGGGCGUAAAGCGCUCGUAGGUGGUUUGUCGCGUUGUUCGUGAAAACUCACAGCUUAACUGUGGGCGUGCGGUCGAUACGGGCAUCACUGGAGUUCGGCAGGGGAGACUGGAAUUCCUGGUGUAGCGGUGAAAUGCGCAGAUAUCAGGAGGAACACCGGUGGCGAAGGCGGGUCUCUGGGCCGAUACUGACGCUGAGGAGCGAAAGCGUGGGUAGCGAACAGG
rnacentral:rRNA from 1 species